UUUAAAAAAGUGGAUCUGUUUUCCAAGACAUUACAACAAAAGAGACAGCAACUUCCGUUUUGAUGCUUUUAAUUUGAUAUCCAAAGGAAGUCACAUGUCAAUUUCAUGACAGGAAGUUGACACAGUUGUUUAUCUUCCGUCAGCGGCGCCGGUGGAGUUGUAGCUAACGGAGGAAUAUAUCCGCCCAGUGCGUUGUUGGAAAGGAGUGACAGUCAAAGGCAAAAGAAGACAGAGAGGGCACCUUUAUCCUGGCUGCACGUGGGAGUGGUCACGCAGCUGGCCCAAGAGGUGCAAUCAGUGUGAGCCACAGGAAGUCAGAGGGAGGAGAGCCACAUGAGGCAGCAGCAGCUGCGUUUCACAGAGGAGAUCUCGAUCUUCGAGAGAGCAGGUCAGGAGAGGAUGGAGGGCGAGGAGGCUCCAAGCCACAGGCCCAGACUGGGCCCAGAACUGAGCUGGACGUACUCUACAAGCUGUCCCACAGACGGUAAGGGUGUUAUCCAAUUGAUCCAUGGGCAUCGGUGUAUUUCUGCAUCAUCAGAACUAAUUCUUGGCUUAAAUGUGGGUCUGAAAUUCCUCUGGAUUUUUAGGCUAACUGGAGCUCAGACGACAGUUUCAAACGUCUCG